AAACUUGUUUGAAUAAUUUUUAAGUGAUUCCAGACAAUACAUAUUUACUGACGUAUAGAACAUGGAAAGUUUUAGCUUAAAAUUAUGAACUUGCAAAAAAUGUGUAAAGGACUAAAUAUAAGGGGGAGUUAUGGAAAAUAUUCAGUCACCUCAAUUAUAGGUUUAAAUACCUUAAAUGCUAUAAUAAUACUUUGACUUUACUUUUUUUUAUUUAUAAGCAACCAAACCACUUUAUAAACAUUAAACCAAGUAUCUUUUUAAAGUAAGACUUCUUUUUUUUCUCUGUGGGUAUCAUUUAUUGAUUGAUAAAAACAGCAAAAAAGUAAACAUUUUCCUGGAGGCAGGAAAGGUACCCUCCAUGCUAGAGCAGUUCUGAAAACGGUAACCACAAUUCCUCCCAAUUUUUUGCAUUUUCCUCUUUAUAAUUGUUAAUUGUAAUAAAACAUACUGAAAUGUUUUCCUUAAAUGAUAGCCCUGGUCUGCUGUUACGUUUUUAUUAAUAUUUUUACUUUAUUUCAUUUAUUAUCAUGAACAUGAAACAAUUUGGGGAUCUCUUUUUCCACCAUUCAGUGUUAUUUUCAGUAACAGAUUCUUUUCUGUUAUUUGACAGUAUUCUGGAAGCCACCUACUCGUUCAUGUUUGAUGUGGUCAGAAUUCUGUGGUGAACUAAAGACCAUCAUUACUGUUUGUUUGGUGUUUACAUUUUGUUUAGCAGGGAUUUCAUAUUAGUGGCUACUCUGGGAGACGUAGCUCAGAUAAUUGUGGCAGAAAAACAGCAGAGGGAAGGUUGAAUGAUGCAGCCCUAGAUUGGAAUUCUCAAUCCUGCCUUCAAGUGAACAAACAUAAUUUCAUUACAUUCAUCUCUCUCUCCAUACUAUCUCUUAAGUACAGAGCUUUUGGUUUUCAUGGUAGACGCCCCCCCAAAUGUUCGCAUUUAAUCUUUAUGGAUUUUACUUUUAUUGAUUUUGCCUGUCCUGAGAAUAGUUUCCCUGAAGACUUAGUUAUUCUCAGAUUCCACUUGUUUGCAGCUCCCAUUUGUUUAUUUAUUGUAAAAAAUAUUUGAUGUAGACAAACGUGCUGUGGCUGUGUCCUGAGAUCCUUAAAGAGUUCUCCCAUUAGAGAGUUAUCUGUUCUGUUUGUGACAUGAUAGCUCAGCAGGACUCAGUAGGCCAUUAGGAAAAUAAGCAAAUUCUUAUCUGGAAGUCAUUAACUAGAAUCACUCAUUCUCUUUUGCACUCUUGCCUGGAAGUUGGUUCUUUUCACAUCCUGGAAAAAUAUUUUGAUAGAGAAUUAAGUGCUGGUGAAAGGUGAGUAUGUGGCAGAGGGACUGGAAUGGGGAGGGGACUAAAACUACAUUUUGUCUAUAUGAGCACUGAGGGGCAUUAGCAAAGACAAGGUCAGUGACCAGCUGCUGACAUUGUCAUAGUUCACUGCUUAAGUUUUGACAUAGAAAUAACAGAUUCACAGCCAAUCCAUUCUACCUCACUGAAGGGGCUUCUAAUCCAUGUCAGUAAUAGACAGCGCUAGAGUACCUGAGCUUUAAUCUACAGUUCGCAAUGGUGAUCCAUGGAAAUCACCUAAAUCUGCAAGUUAAAACUAUUAGUCAUUACAAACCCAGGGGAUAUAUAAAUAAAAAACAUUAGCUAAAGAUUAUAUCCCAAGCUCCAAUAUCAAUCUCAAGGAAAUAUCUUGAUCCAGAAUCAUGAAGAGAUUCCCUAAACCAGAUUCCCCCACCGAUGUCCUUAGUGAGUAAAUGAGCAAAUCUAAGAGAAUCUGCUCAGCAGGAGGUAAAAUAUUCUUUUCUUUGGAAUAUCAUGUCAUUUUUUUGUCACAUAAAAGCAUUUGUCCAUGAGGAAAUUAAUCUCACUUAUAAUUAAACUGUGAUAUAAACAUCCAUUUCAUACCUAUACGUCCAAGUGUGUAGUUCUUUUGUUUCACUGUCACGUAGAAUAAACAUGAACUAAAACAAGGGUGUCUCUCAUUUUUAAGUCAUCACAUCACUCCUGGUAUUCGCUGACCAAGUUUAGAAACAGAGUUAACAUCAUAAUAUAAAUUGUUUAGUGAUUCAUUGGAUUACAAAGGCAUCAUGUUUUACAACCCAUAUUAUUUAAUUUAUGUCAAGGAGGACUGAUAGCAAGUCUGGGGCCACUUAGUCAACAGGCCCAGUGCUCCGUGGUGUUUUCCUGGAACAUUUAUGAUCUGUGAGCACACUGUUGUGUGAACUUCCACAAGCCCCCACAGAGACUCUGUCCCAGUGCCCAGAUUGUGCUGGGCUCCAGGGAGCAGAUACAGAGUCAGAGCCAGCAAUUUUGCUGGCUGAUAGUUCCCCCUACAUCUCCAAGAUAUGAAAAGACAAGUGAAGGGGACAGUUUUAGAGGACCUUUCACUCCCCUUCCUGACAGUGUCCUGGAACAUGCAUCAUCACUGACCUUAACUAUCCUCCAAGGGAAAAGGCCAGAGAAUGUGGGUUUACAGUAAUUUAUAUUCAGUCUUGUGGAUCAGGAAAAUCAAGAAUAAUGUAUCCUUCAGAUAAAAUCAAUAUGAUAGAAAUUAAAUUACAGAAAACUUAAUAAGAUUGUGCUUGUUACUUAUAAAUGCACUCAAAGUAUUAUUUCUCAAGCUAAUGCAUAUACCAUUAAACAGAAAAAUCAAAGGGGAAAAAUUGUUUUCACAGAUCAGAGAAAAGGACUGUGAAUCCAAGUUUGAGAGUCCUAAAGUUAAGAACAUAUCUUCGAGGUGCAAAUUAACUAUCUAGCUUUAUAUAUGAUAAAACAAAGUUUUGGUUUUGUUUUUAAAGAGUAAGAUUAAAAGAAAAGCAGAGAUGCUGUAGAUCUUGCAGAUCUCUAAAGCAAGGCUCUAGUCUAAAUAUCUGUAUAAAUAAUCUGCCAAUAUACUUGUGAAUAUAGAACUUAUUUAAUAAGGUUCUGAAAGAAUCCAUACAUUUUAUAAAAUUGCUUAAUCUAAAGUUGGUAGCGUCAUAGAGCUUGUGAGCGAAUAUGAUUUCAUUCUGCUGUCCUGAUUACUCAAAAUAUACAUAAUUCAUAACAGUAUGUUGAUGUAGUAAUGAUGACAUAGUCUAGUAUCAUUUUGACAGAGACCAGAAGGAACAAAUCACUAAAUUAUCAAUGCAGAGGAAAUCAUCACUGUGCCAUAGCCAAAUUGUGUUGGGGCAAAAUAUUUAAGACCUGAGGCCAGAUGAUGUGUUUUGUGGAAAGAUUGAUGACUAUGUAUACUGGGAGAAAAGUCAGCAAUUCUUUAGUUCAUAACAGUAUUAGGAAAUUUGUCAUCUGAUUUCCUGCCUAACUGGCUACUUAACUGCACCCAUGGGAUGGAAAUGAGGUAAGGGUGAAAUCCCCCAAACUGUGCUCUUUUAAAGAAACAAAUAUAGAGACCCUGAUUUCAACAUAACCAUUUCUAAAAUACUGAGAGGAAUAAGCUGUGGUAUAUUAUAUAGAGGUUUUUAUUUUCUCCAGCAAGUGCCAGGUUUUAAAGAUUCCCCAAGUUAAAAAGAAAAUCUAGAAUUUAGUUCCAAGAGGUAGUGAAGAGAAAAACAAAAGGUUAUUUAGCUACCCUCUCCCUCAUAAACCUGUGCAGACUAAAAUUUGGUGGUCAAACAAGCCAGAACUGAACAGUAUUAUGGCCAAUGCUAAAGACUGAAGGAAGAUCAGUUGGUUAGAUCCUGAUCAAGCUUCUGUUAAAAAUUAACUCUGUGUGGGAUAGGUCUGUUCCAUCACAUGAAGCCAAUUCUCUAAUUCUUGCCAGCUUUUUUAUAAGCACUGAGUGUGGAUCACAGAAAAGGACAGGUAUUUUUGUAUCACUGUAAAUCCAUCAACAUGUUUCUUUAAAUAUACGUCAAUUCUAUGUACACAGAAAGUGCACGCUUUAUUUGAGAACUGUUUGUUAUUAAUCAUAAUAGCUAUAUUUUACUGAGUGUGCCCUAUGGACCAGGUGCUAUGCUAAGAGCCUAUAUAUCCAUGUCAGUUAACCUUUACACUAACACCGGAAGUAGAUAUUAAGCCAAAGAUGUGAGAUACCCAGAAUAUCUUAGCUAGUAAGGGGGAGACAAAAGAUCUGAAAUCAUCUGUUUCUUAUUUUUCAUUCUAAACCACUUCAUUUUAUUGCUAUUCCAUUGUAUUCUGCUUCUAAAUAGUCAUUCAAGACUAGAUGAUAUAGUCCAAAAGAGUUUAUGAAUUCAUGGGGUAAUUUACAUUGUAGGUUUUCAAUCUAGAUGAUAAUUCAAACAUUUGGAAUUUCAAAUCCAGUAUACUUGGCCUGCCUUGGCUGCAUUAUUUCAAGAAAUCCAUUCCAGCAAAUAUGACUUUCCAUUUGUUUUGUGCUAUUGAUAGUCAUAUGAACAGAUUCCACAUGAAUAAGAACCUGUUGGAUAAAUUUUUAAAUAUUAUAUAUAAUUAUAUCUUAAACAUACACAUCUUGGCCUGUGUUAUUAAAAAAGGAAUGAAAUAGAAAGGGCAAACUCCUUUUUCUGCUUAAUCAGCAAUAGCCUAAGUAUCAGGAGGAUUAAGGUUCAGAGUAAGGCUGGAGAGGUAGGAGACACACACACUCACACACACAUACCCCCUCACUCACCAAAAUGGUAGGAAACAUUUUGGAAACCAAUGAUCCCAAUGUAUUCUUGGCUCCCACAACUAUGUCUAAUGUAUUAAAUUUAAGUUCUGGGCAUCACAUUUUAGGAGGACAAUUGCAAGUAUAUAAUAUCAGAGGGAAGUACUGAGGGGAUGGGGAUCUAAAAGUAAUACUAAUAUUGAAAUGCUCAAAAAUUCUGGAUGAGCAGAGUUCCUGUAGCUGUGGCAUAGGCUGGCAGCUGAAGCUCUGAAUCCACCCCAAGCCUGGGAACUUCCAUGUGCCGG
rnacentral:lncRNA from 1 species